AGAGUUUGAUCCUGGCUCAGAGUGAACGCUGGCGGCAGGCCUAACACAUGCAAGUCGAACGGCAGCACAGCAGUAGCAAUACUGUGGGUGGCGAGUGGCGGACGGGUGAGGAAUACAUCGGAAUCUACCUUGUCGUGGGGGAUAACGUAGGGAAACUUACGCUAAUACCGCAUACGACCUACGGGUGAAAGCGGAGGACCGCAAGGCUUCGCGCGAUAAGAUGAGCCGAUGUCGGAUUAGCUAGUUGGCGGGGUAAUGGCUCACCAAGGCGACGAUCGGUAGCUGGUCUGAGAGGAUGAUCAGCCACACUGGAACUGAGACACGGUCCAGACUCCUACGGGAGGCAGCAGUGGGGAAUAUUGGACAAUGGGCGCAAGCCUGAUCCAGCCAUGCCGCGUGAGUGAAGAAGGCCUUCGGGUUGUAAAGCUCUUUCAGUUGAGAAGAAAAGAUUGUGACUAAUAAUUGCAAUUCAUGACGGUAUCAACAGAAGAAGCACCGGCUAACUCCGUGCCAGCAGCCGCGGUAAUACGGAGGGAGCUAGCGUUGUUCGGAAUUACUGGGCGUAAAGCGCACGUAGGCGGCUCGUUAAGUCAGAUGUGAAAGCCCCGGGCUUAACCUGGGAACUGCAUUUGAAACUGGCGAGCUAGAGUUGAGUAGAGGUAAGUGGAAUUUCAGGUGUAGCGGUGAAAUGCGUAGAUAUCUGAAGGAACACCAGUGGCGAAGGCGACUUACUGGACUCAAACUGACGCUGAGGUACGAAAGCGUGGGUAGCAAACAGGAUUAGAUACCCUGGUAGUCC
rnacentral:rRNA from 1 species